ACAAUUUCCAAGGGGAGUGUGGGUGGUUCCAGGUUUCACUUGGGCUCCACACAGGUAAAUCAGUGUUGGUCAAAUGAAUUUGGAGAAGCAAGGAGAAGUAACUGCCGGUGGCCCCAGGGUUUUGAACUAUUAGCCAGAGACAGAGUCUGCUAGACCCUACUCCAGUGAGGCAUGCUCUGAAGAUAGGCACAAGGCAUAUGCAUGCCUAUCUAGGAUUGCUCAAAAAUGAUGACUCAGCAAACAAAGACAGCAGUGUGAGUAAAUUGCUUGCUGUUCCACACACUGAAGUAGAAGGCAGAGGCUGAGUUGGGGAGUCUGAGAGCUGCCCAGUGACUUCAAUAGUGGCCAUCGCAGGAAUAGAAGACCAGAGUUUUCCCGGAGUGCAAAGUCCAACCCAGAAAGCAGGGCUGGGGAGACCUGAAGUCAGGUGCACACUGGUUGACAAACCUUCAUCCUCAGCAGGAGCAAGGGGUUAGUUCCAGGAGCCCUCCCUGGGAUUUGGCUGACUGAGGGAGUCCAUACCAGAAGGAAGCUUUGUUUGUGUCAGCAUCUGUCU